rnacentral:misc_RNA from 1 species
GAAAGAGCUCCACCGCCGCUUUUGCCUUUUCCCUUUGAUGGGUAUUUCAAAGAGCUCACAAUGUUAGCAAAUGAUUGAUCAGCACAAACGGGAAGGCCCAAGGAGACGACAUUGUUGUGAGCUUUCAAGCCACCAAAUGAGUUAAGCCCAGUUAUGUAAUGGACAUUGGUUUGCCUCAGCCGCCUUGAACCGGCGGCGAUGGGGGCGGCGGUGGACAUGGCCGGCGAAAGGGUAGCGGAGGCUGUAGCCAUUGAUUGAUGCCUGAAAGAAGAGGAAGAGAAGGAAGAGUCAAAUUGAGUGAAAACCCAGAUGGGGAAAGGGAUUUUGAAGGAGAAAGAAG